rnacentral:rRNA from 1 species
UACAGAGGUGGCAAGCGUUGUUCGGAAUUACUGGGCGUAAAGGGCGCGUAGGCGGCCUUCUAAGUCAGACGUGAAAUCCCCAGGCUUAACUUGGGAACUGCGUCUGAUACUGAGAAUCUUGAGUAUGGGAGAGGUGAGUGGAACUGCGAGUGUAGAGGUGAAAUUCGUAGAUAUUCGCAAGAACACCAGUGGCGAAGGCGGCUCACUGGCCCAUAACUGACGCUGAGGCACGAAAGCGUGGGGAGCAAACAGG